AGAGUUUGAUCCUGGCUCAGGACGAACGCUGGCGGCGCGCCUAACACAUGCAAGUCGAACGGUGAAGAGGAGCUUGCUCCUCGGAUCAGUGGCGGACGGGUGAGUAACACGUGAGCAACCUGCCUUUCAGUGGGGGACAACAGUUGGAAACGACUGCUAAUACCGCAUAACGUGCCAGAGGGGCAUCCUUUUGGUACCAAAGAUUUAUCGCUGAAAGAUGGGCUCGCGUCUGAUUAGAUAGUUGGUGAGGUAACGGCCCACCAAGUCGACGAUCAGUAGCCGGACUGAGAGGUUGAUCGGCCACAUUGGGACUGAGACACGGCCCAGACUCCUACGGGAGGCAGCAGUGGGGGAAUAUUGGACAAUGGGGGAAACCCUUAUCCAGCGACGCCGCGUGAGGGAAGAAGGUUUUCGGAUUGUAAACCUCUGUCAGUGGGGACGAUAAUGACGGUACCCACGGAGGAAGCCACGGCUAACUACGUG
rnacentral:rRNA from 1 species